rnacentral:rRNA from 1 species
AAAUAAUAUUAAGUCAAAUCUGCCCAUUGAAAUUUUAAAAGGCUGCAGUAUAAAUAACUGUACAAAGGUAGCAUAAUCAUUAGUUUUAUAAUUGAAAUCUAGUAUGAAAGAUUUAAUGAAAUAUACACUAUAUAAAUAAAAAUAAAAAUUAAAAUUAAAAUUUAAGUUAAAAUUCUUAAAUAUAAUUAAAAGACGAGAAGACCCUAUAGAAUUUUAUAUAUAAUUUAAUUAAAACUACAAUAUAAUAAUUUAUUAAAUUAACUUAUAUAUUUAAUUGGGGUAAUUUUAAAAUUAAAUAAACUUUUAAAUAAUAAAACAUUAAUUAAUGAAUAAAUAAUCCUA